UACAGAGGUCUCAAGCGUUGUUCGGAAUUACUGGGCGUAAAGGGCGCGUAGGCGGCCUUCUAAGUCGAACGUGAAAUCCCUGGGCUCAACCCAGGAACUGCGUCCGAUACUGGAAGGCUUGAAUCCGGGAGAGGGAUGCGGAAUUCCAGGUGUAGCGGUGAAAUGCGCAGAUAUCAGGAGGAACACCGAUGGCGAAGGCAGGUCUCUGGGCAUUAACUGACGCUGAGGAGCGAAAGCAUGGGGAGCGAACAGG
rnacentral:rRNA from 1 species